rnacentral:lncRNA from 1 species
GCAUGGGACGAAGCAAAGAUGAGUACCAAGACAAAGAAAAAUCAAAGUCUUGUUUCUUACCAAUGCCACUAUUUCUGUUCUCAAUUCCAGCAGCUUCUUUUCGUUCAAUGAAUACUGAAAUAAACACGUAACAUGGGUCAGAUUCUGAUCUACUCCUCUCUCUUCUCCUUCUCUGGUGCCUUAAAUAUUCUGGUCUCAGUACCUCCUAGAAUACGUAACACCAGAAAGUCACCUCUGGGAUUAAGUAGCCUACCUGCUUCUUUGUAUCUGUUACUUGAGGUUUCUUUUUUUUUUUUCAUAGAGAUGGGGCUUUGCCAUGUUGCCCAGGCUGGUCUCAAACUUCUGAGCUCGAGCCAUCUGCCCACCUCGGCCUCCCAAGGUGCUGGGAUUACAAGCAUGACCUGCCGUGCUGGCUAAAGUUUCUUAUUUAUACUUACUCAUUCCUCUAAUAUCUGGAUUUCCUACUACCUGAGUCUCAACAAAAGACAGAAAAGGUAUGAAGUUGGGGAAAAAAUAGCUGCCAAGGAUUAUUGCUUGAGGAAACAGUGGGAGUGAAGGAAUGAAAGCACUUCUCCAGGGGACCUCCUAAGGACCACCUCACCUGCCCCAGAACUCUACUGGACUGCCCCAUGUGUCAGGGAGCUCGAAAACACCUGAGUCUGGAAUGACUUGUGAAGAGUGACAGGGUUACUCUAGACCUAAAUUCCUUGUUUCUAGUAAGAAAAUAAUCAUUCAUGUA